AUGGAACCAGCUGCGCCCCUCUCCCAAGAGCUGCAGAUCCAUGGCAGCAGCAGCGAGGUGAGCAGCGGCAAAGGCUCCCACCUAGCACCUCCUCGUCCACUGUCUUUUCAAUCAAGAUUGUUUCCAAUGCUCAAAUGGUCGAGCAUGUAUGGAGUCACUUGCAGGACACUCGAGGAAGAGCUGGUUGAUGCCGCGCUCAAUUCUGAAACUAUAGCAGAGCUUGUCACUCCGUGCUUGCCAGCUGCUCCUCCCUCCGCCUCUGGCUGCGGCGACCAGCUAGGUUCCUGUUAUUGUUCGUCUCUCACCAGCUAUGGGAAAGAUGAUGUUUUCUUUCUUGCAAAUUUGUCAGAAGAGCACCUAUUUUACUGCAGCAAAUACUUUGUAUGUGCUUCCAGAGUUCUCUUGCUUGCCGCUUAUGUUGCAUCCUUCUGGAACCUAGCAGCAAACUGCUGGAGCUGGAAUUCAGAAAUUUCAAGUGCUUUUGUGAUUACAAUGUGGCUAGACCUUGAGGAUUUUUUUCGGAUUUUCUAA
rnacentral:rRNA from 1 species